rnacentral:rRNA from 1 species
AGCAAAUCUUUUUCAUGUAAAACAUGCUCGUGGUAAAAUCGUACGGUACGGAUUUUAUGAAACUAUGAUCUAUGGCUCAAAUCUGUAGUCAAUCCUUUUUCUGAUAGGAGCAGUUGACAAUUGAAUCCAAAAUUUCCCAUUAUUUUUGUGUCCAUAAUAGUGCCAAAAAAGGCACUGCUCCAAGUUGUUAGGGAAUAGUGGCAAUGAGUUUCUCGACCCUUUGCCUUAGGAUUAGUCAGUUAUAUUUCUCGAUGGGGUGAGGAAGGGAUAUAACUCAGCGGUAGAGUGUCACCUUGACAGUGUGGAAAUCAUAAGUUCAAGCCUGAUUAUCCCUAAAUCCAAUGUGUGUUUUUCUAUUUUGACUUGCUCCCGGAACUUCUUUUCCCGGAAAAGAAGCAAUGACGGUAUCUGAGGAAUAAGCAUCGACUAACUCCGUGCCAGCAGUCACGCUAAGACAGAGGAUGCAAGCGUUAUCUGGAAUGAUUGGGCGUAAAACAUGUGUAGGUGGCUUUUCAUGUCCGCUGUCAAAUCCCAGUGCUCAAUCCUGGACAAGCGGUGGAAACUGCCAAGCUAGAGUAUGGUAGGAGCAGAGGGAAUUUCCAGUGGAGCGGUGAAAUGCAUUGAGAUCGGAAAGAACACCAUGGCGAAAACACUCUGCUGGGCCAACACUGACACUGAGAGAUAAAAGAUAGGGGAGCGAAUGGGAUUAGAUACCUCAGUAGUCCUAGCCAUAAAUGAUGGAUACUAGGCUUUGUGCAUAUUGACCCAUGCAAUAUUGUAGCUAACGCGUUAUGUAUCCCGCUUGGGGAGUACAUUCGCAAGAAUGAAACUCAAAGGAAUUGACGGGUAUCGAACAAGCAGUGGAACAUGUGGUUUAAUUCGAUGCAAAGCAAAGAACCUUCCCUUGGCUUGACAUGUCGCGAGUCCUCUUGAAAGAGAGGAGUGCCUUCAGGAAUGCGGAUACAGGCGAUGCAUAGCUGUCGUCAGCUCGUGCCGUAAGGUGUUGUGUUAAGUCUUGCAACGAGCGCAACCCUCGUAUUUAGUUUCCACCGUUGAGUUUGGAACCCUGAACAAACUAUCAGUGAUAAGCUGGAGAAAGGUGAGGUUGACGUCAAGUCAUCAUGCCCCUUAUGCCCUAGGCAACACAUGGGCUACAAUGGCCAGAACACCCGCGAGGGUGAGCUAACCCCAAAAACUCGUCCUCAUUUCAUAUUGCAGGCUGCAACUUGCCUACAUGAUGUCGGAAUCGCUAGUAAUCGCCGGUCAACCAAAUGGUGGUGAAUUCGUUCCUGGGCCUUAUACACACCGCCCGUCACACUAUGAGUUUUGGCCAUGCUUGAAGUCGUUACCAACCGCAAGGAGGGGAUGCCAAAGGCAUGGCUAGUAAUUGGAGUGAAGUCGUAACAAGGUAGCCGUACUGGAAGGUGCGGCUG